AAGGCUGGUCCGUGUGGUCCUAUCCAACAGACGAGCUCCUGUAGCUCAAACUGCUGAAGACGUUCAUGAUGUUGAUGCUCCACAGGUCAGGACUGUUUUAGCAGCAGAAGGGGACCAAGCAAUAUUAUGCAGUGGCGUGUCAGGGUAGUACAGCACUCGUCCCAGGAGCAUGGGUUUGAGGAAGGCCCAGGCUACAGCGCCCCCUGUGGUGCUCACCAUGUCCAGAUCCUCCACUUCCUUCUGGUCCUGGAAAGACGGAUUUGUCUGGCUUAUGCUGGGAAGCUGCGCGAUUCCAAAGAGAGACAACAUGCCGCUGUUGCACAAGGCUCGGGAGACGGUGAUGAAGGUGGCCCUGCUGGAGAUGGUCGAACGUUUUCCUCUCACCAACUGCAGCACAAACACAAUUCAACAAAUGGAUAAAGAUCAUAAUAAAAAUAUCAAUAAUAAACUA